UAUUAUUCGUUGAAAAUCAUUUAUCUGCUUGUAAACAUUCAAGUCAAUUGAGUCUUACAUAUGGUGGUAGUCGAUUAUUUGGAGUCGCCUUUCUGCUGCCGAAAACUACCGGUUGGGGAAUUUUCAUACACGUUUUUAGAACAGCGUUUUUGCAAAUAUAAUAGUGACUACCUUACAUACAAUACAUAAACUACAGUUAGACUUCACAGACGAGCAAGUGCAGCGGAAGAUGUGUGUUGAAGAGCUGGUUUUUAGAAACGAAGGCAAGUAUGCGCGUAUUUCUACCAUCGUCACAUGUG